AAGCGUUCACCUCGUUCGCGAGGCGCAUUUCUGUCAGGCCAUGGAACGGGGACCUGGC
ncrna:unclassified sequences Glutamine-II riboswitch (downstream peptide RNA)